rnacentral:rRNA from 1 species
AUUGAACGCUGGCGGCAGGCCUAACACAUGCAAGUCGAGCGGAUGAGUGGAGCUUGCUCCAUGAUUCAGCGGCGGACGGGUGAGUAAUGCCUAGGAAUCUGCCUGGUAGUGGGGGACAACGUUUCGAAAGGAACGCUAAUACCGCAUACGUCCUACGGGAGAAAGUGGGGGAUCUUCGGACCUCACGCUAUCAGAUGAGCCUCGGUCGGAUUAGCUAGUUGGUGAGGUAAAGGCUCACCAAGGCGACGAUCCGUAACUGGUCUGAGAGGAUGAUCAGUCACACUGGAACUGAGACACGGUCCAGACUCCUACGGGAGGCAGCAGUGGGGAAUAUUGGACAAUGGGCGAAAGCCUGAUCCAGCCAUGCCGCGUGUGUGAAGAAGGUCUUCGGAUUGUAAAGCACUUUAAGUUGGGAGGAAGGGCAGUAAGUUAAUACCUUGCUGUUUUGACGUUACCAACAGAAUAAGCACCGGCUAACUUCGUGCCAGCAGCCGCAGUAACAC